rnacentral:tRNA from 1 species
UUUUAAGUUAAAGACUGGGAGUUUUAACCUCUCCUUAAUGA